rnacentral:misc_RNA from 1 species
GAUGAGAACGCAGCGAAAUGCGAUAAGUAAUGCGAAUUGCAGAAUUCAGUGAGUCAUCGAAUCUUUGAACGCACAUUGCGCCCUGUGGUAUUCCGCAGGGCAUGCCUGUUCGAGCGUCAUUUCAACCCUCAAGCUCUGCUUGGUGUUGGGCCCUGCCCGCUGCGGCCGGCCCUAAAGACAGUGGCGGUGCCGCCUGGCCCUGAGCGUAGUACAUCUCUCGCUCCAGUGCCCGGUGGUAGCCUGCCAGAACCCCAACUCUCGUGGUUGACCUCGGAUCAGGUAGGGAUACCCGCUGAACUUAAGCAUAUCAAUAAGCGGAGGA